CCUGCUUCAGGGGGACUGGAGGCAGUGGCCAGUGGACUCAAUGCUGGUGACGAAGUGGUGGAUGAGGAAGUGGAGCUGGCAUAUAAUAUGGAGCAGAAAGCAAAGUCCAGGACCUCCAUGGUAGCAUUCUCUGAGAUGCUCCUAGUUGCACACACAGGGCCAUUUAGGCAGAACUGCAGAGUCUUCAUGCGUGGAUGAGAUGAUGGUACAGGGAGGAGAGGUUUAGAUUUAUUAGGAACUGGGGAAACUUUUGGGAAAGGGGAAACCUGUACAGGAAGGAUGGGCUACACCUAUACCAAAACGGAACCAGAUUGCUGGAACUUAACAUUAAAAAGGUCAUAGAGCAGUUUUUAAACUAAGGGCUGGAGGAAAGCUAACAGGUGAAGAGGAGAGA